rnacentral:rRNA from 1 species
UACGUAGGGCGCAAGCGUUGUCCGGAAUUAUUGGGCGUAAAGAGCUCGUAGGCGGCCUGUUACGUCUGCUGUGAAAUCCCGGGGCUUAACCCCGGGCCUGCAGUGGAUACGGGCAGGCUAGAGGCAGGCAGGGGAGAACGGAAUUCCACGUGUAGCGGUGAAAUGCGUAGAGAUGUGGAGGAACACCGAUGGCGAAGGCAGCCUCCUGGGCCAACACUGACGCUCAUGCACGAAAGCGUGGGGAGCAAACAGG